UACGAAGGGUGCAAGCGUUAAUCGGAAUUACUGGGCGUAAAGGGCGCGUAGGCGGCUUUGUAAGUCGGGUGUGAAAUCCUCAGGCUUAACCUGGGAACUGCAUUCGAGACUGCAUUGCUAGAGUAUGGGAGAGGGAAGUGGAAUUUCCGGUGUAGCGGUGAAAUGCGUAGAUAUCGGAAGGAACAUCAGUGGCGAAAGCGACUUCCUGGACCAAUACUGACGCUCAUGUGCGAAAGCGUGGGGAGCAAACAGG
rnacentral:rRNA from 1 species